GAGAAAUAUCCCGAUAUCAAAAAAUGCCGUAUAGGGAAUUCCCCUAAACAGCAUGAAAGCGCGUGACUAUUUGCAGUAUUUCCUCAGUUCUGUAUCAUGUAAAAAUGUUUAAAACCUAUGUAUAAACGACAAGAUGUUUCUGAAAAAUGGAACCGUGUGAAAUUUAAACGGUAAGUUUACUUUUAACAGUAUUCCUUCUUACAUAACUAGUAAUAAUAAGCUCAGUGACAACUAGAUUGUCAGUCACAGUUAAUCAAUUUGUUUAUCCAGCUGAUGUAUUAUUAAAAGUUGUAAGUGUGACGAUCCUUUCGAAUAUUUCGGUUUAUUAUUCUGUUUUAUACGGUAAAAGUAAUAAACCGAAAUUGCCACAUCCCGUCACCCCAAAUACUGACAAAAAUAGGUGAACUUCAAAGCUUUGAUCGAGGGAGUCAGUUGGAAUCCAAAACGAAAUUUCUUGCUCAGUUCAGUCAGUUGCUCUGCUGAGGCUUGCACGCAAAUAAAAACGUAUGUAUAUUGACAUAAACUCAUAAUACAUAAAGGUAUAGUGUCCUUAGGUACAGGUAAUCCCCCAAAAUGAGAUUCGUUAUCACAGUCAAUGAGUUUGCAAGUUGUAUGCAACUGGCCGCGGUUGAUUUGUUACUGAACUCAUUCCACAUCGACAAGAACGAGGUCUUGUCUUUUGGCGAGCAUCGAUCGCGAGAUGAGUAUUACUGUCAUUACUAGAAUCGAGUAACAUUGAUAAAGAUGACUCCGGUUGGGUAAAAUACUUCUUAGCCAAGAAAUAUGGCAAGUAAAAAUAUCUGAAAUAUAGUAUCUUGAUGGGUAAAAAGUUCGGAUGAGGACCUGUUCCCGAAUCCCGAUAAAGGGCAUGUUGUAAAACCUGGACUGGACUGGACUUGUAAAACCUGGACUGGACUCAUUUGUAAAACAUGGACUGAACUCAUUUGUAAAACAUGGACUCACAAGUACAAUUAAGAAAAGAUUAAGUUGACUUUGACUUUAAGAAGUUUUAUAAUGGUAAAAUUAAUGGGUGAACCACAUUGACUUGCAGAAAUAUUAUUAUAAAAUAUAAUUAUUCCUUAGAUACUAUAGCUACAGAAUAUAUCAUUCUAGAUAAAUUGUACAGUAGUGUGUUGCAGUGGUCAUCCUAAGAAAAAUUUAGAACUGCCCAUUUCAUAGCAGCUGCUUCCAGAUGCAGUGUGUGUUGUGGGCAUAAGCCUUCUAGGGGUGCAGGGGAUAGCUCUCCCCCCUGAAAAAUUGAGGUCUCUCAAAUGGCAUUUCCAGCAUUCCGAGAACAUAUUUUGAGAAAAAUGUUAGGUUUACAAAAGAUUAUAAUGGUGCAUUUUUAUAUAGUAUAUAAAGCCCCGUUUACACUACGCUCAAUUUUUGGUAUGGCACGGAUAAAAUUGGUACCCGUACCACUUUUAUGGUUCUUGGACUACCUAUUUAGGUAAUCCAAGAACCGACAAGAAAAUAUUUCUUUAAAAAAGAAAUAAUGUUUCGUUCCAAUAUAAUUAUAGAAAUACCAGACGUCUAUAAUUAGCGGUUGUGACCAUAGAUCACUUGUAUAUGUCGAGCAAUGAAGUUGGUUCAUUUUGUGAGGCGGGCGGGUUCUAUAAAUUUUCAUUACCUGGAGGGGCCGAGCGGUCCAGAAAUACAGUAGUAGUAUUUAAAAUGAAGAAAAACAAAGAAAACUAUGUAAUAAAUAUAUAUAUAUACCACUGUUGGCGCUUGAAUACUUCAAAUAUCGUGCCUGUAGAUUUUACCUGAAGUUCAGGCCCUAAGAUUUUGAUUGGUUGCAAGUUCACAUAAACAACAGUUUUAAAAAUAGCUCGGUCAAGGGCUCAAGGGGACAAUAAUAAUAUAAAGGUCAAACGCACGUAACAAAUCCAUUAUCGAUUUCUUCGAAUUUCUUUUCUUUUAUGCUUUAUGGCAGAAAAUAAAUCAAACAAAUAGUAUUUUGAAGGUCUUUAUCAAAAUCUUUGACGAAUUUUGGACACACGACGCUGAAAGAACAGCCAAACUAAACUAGUCAUCUAUUCGAAAGUUUGUUACUAGUUUAGUUUGGCUAUUCUUUCAGCGUCGUGUGUCCAAAAUUCGUCAAAGAUUUGAUAAAGACCUUCAAAAUACAGUUUGCCAACUGGCUUCGCCGGCAAAAGUCUUAUUUUUAAUAUCAGGUCCUACCGGCGUUGUUUUCUGAGCUACAUCGCCUUCUUCGUGGUACGAUUGAGAAUUUUAUUGUUGCUGUUGUUAGCCCGUUAAAGUAUAUCCCUGGUAUAUAUCCGCGUCCAGCAAGUUGAGACCUUGAGAAAGCUUGGCAGUCAAGCUGUACACAGAACUGACUAAUUGAAUCUUUGUUUGCUGUUCGGUUAAAUAGAGAAACUGACUCUUAAUUAUAUAAAAGUACCUUGAAUUUUUAAGAUUAAUUAAAAAGCAAAAUGCACACUCUGCGGACAUGUUCAUGAGAAUAUAAAUUUUUUGUGUAACGAAAUCUACAGUAUAACACUUGUCAAUCAUAUUGCAUGCUGUGUCUAAAAAUAACAUGUGAGCGUCCCACGGUCCAGACAGGUUUUGUGUCAGGCCCUAUUUAAAAUUAGGGCCUGAACUUCUGGUUAAGUUAGCAUGUUCUCAUAGGUUGAUAUAUAAUUAACUAAGAUUUCCGAUUAUACGCCACGCCUCCAAAAAACUUCUGAUGCUAGGAGCGGUCAUCUCAUUGGACGAUUCUAAAUGUAAUUGACGUUUGAGCAAGAAUACUGGCAAAGGAUUGGAUAACUUUGAUCUCUGACGUCACUUUCCUGUGAUAAUUGCUCGAAACCAAAUACAGUACCGUUUCGUUCCUGCGGGGAACGAAACAAAAAGUGGUACGGUACCAAAAAUUGAGCGUAGUGUAAACGGGGCUUAGCUUUGUAUUUUUCUUGUUUGCUUCUCCUUUGCUGGUGACGACGUAACCAAAUCAGAUGAAGGACACGCUUGAUCAGAGCCGCUGCCGUUUUGAAAUAAGCGCGAAAUUGAGUAAUUUGUGAGACCGGAACGAUCAUUCCACUUGUCCUUUUACUGGAAAUCGCUUCCUUAAUCGGACCGGAUCAGAGAAACCUCCGAUUCGAUCCGCUGCUUAUUAUCCGGAGUGGAAAACUUAAGGGAAACUAGGAAAUUUCCCAAUAUAUAUGGCACUGCUUGAGCGGGCAAAACCAAAUAUACAAUAAAAUUAUGUCCUCUGGACGGCUGUUUUUGGUGGAUUUCUCGUUGUAUGUCAGUUAUUAACAAAAUAACGUGUGGAAAAUUAAAAACCUCCCGAAUGAAUGCAUGUAAAAGAUAUGAUGGGGAUGAAAACUUGAACAUGGGGCAAAUUCUCAUAUAGGGAAUUCCCCCAAUAACUUCAGGAGACCAGAAGCAGGAAAAGCUGGAGCUAAAUAUGCAAAUUAUUAAUUUUUCAUUGCCGGCUAAUUUUUGUGGACUAUAUUUUCAGGUCUUAUUGCAUUCAUUUUACUUAUAUAUUAAUUCCAAAGUAAUGUAUCUUAAAAGUAGACCAUUAAUGAGCAAUGUCAAUGUCAAUGAUAUCAAACCGCAAUUAUUGAAUGAGGUCGAGUAGAAUAUGAGGAAUUAUUUUGGCCGAGGUUUGUGUUAUCUGCCGAAACUGAAGGCUGAGGCAGAUAGAAUAGAUUGUAUCUUCGAUAGGCUCUUAUUUAUCUGCUACUCUAUCUUUUCUAUAGGGAUUAGACGUUUUGUGAUUCUGCAGAAACAGAUAACUUUACAAACGACGAUGUAUUGACAGUAUUGUUACUUUGAUGAGACUUCACAUGUCAUAUCCUUAUGUAGAUUUGAAAGCACUUCGGCUAAUAAUAGGUACAAAGAACAAAAAUUAAAUGAAAUAAUAAUUGCUAUCUGUGCCAUGUUAAACAGUGAUGGUGGAAAUAUUGUGUUACAUAACGAGUGCGACUGCGAGAAAUGCAAAUCUUCUCAGAUGUCCUUAGUGGUUCGAAUGCUGGAACAAUCUAUGAUCUCUAUCAUAGGAUUGAAUCAGACUGUUUCGAAUAUAAAUUUCGAAGAAGAUAAAGGAAGUAUUGUCAUUUCAGUUAAAAAAUCUGUUUCUUUAAUAACAACUAAUUAUAACCUUUAUUUACCGAGUCAAUCACAGGUUGUACAGGUAUUGCCUUGGGAACCACUAGAAAACGUCAAGGAUGAUAUCAUCAACAGAAAAGUCAUUCACGAACCAGUCCAGCUUGGCUCACAUUGUACAAUAUUUGUUCAAGAUACAAAUUCUGGCUUACAGGAGAGCAAGAUUGUUCAGUUAAAGUAUCUAAAAGCAAGGAAGUCAAAAUGUAUCACGCUAGCAGAUCGUAUGACUGGUAAAGGAAAUAAAUUCAGUUGUUAUGUUUCAGCGUUUGCCAACUGUAGCGGAGGUCACAUUUAUUAUGGUAUCACAGAUGAUGGAGUUGUUGAAGGCGAGUUGAUUUCGAAUGAGGACAAAGGUGAGAUAACAAACAAGGUCGAGAAAGCCAUCAACAAGAUGAUCUGGCCUGAGCAAAUCGGUCAACCAAAACGAGGGGUACACUGGAAAAUAUUCUUCGAGCCAGUGGUAGAUAAAAACGUCAGGCCUAUCACAUCAACAUUUGUGAUCGUAAUCUAUAUCGCUCCUUGUUUGGGUGGUGUGUUCACUGAGGGGCCAGAAUGCUAUGAAAUGGUUGAUGGGAAAGUUGAGAAGAUUUCGUUUACGUCUUGGCAAAAAAGAAUAUCACCACCAUUUUCGUUGAUUAUCCGGGAAAAAAUCCCUCAUUCAGUUCAACGUAUUGCUUGGAGCUCAGCUAACGCUCGAAAGGCUUUCAUCGUUGGAGAUGAUAAAUUAAUGCAAUUAAUUAAUGAUGGAAAUUGGAACGCUCUUUCGAAAGAGGUUACUAGAGUUCUUCAGAGUUCGUCUGAAUUAAACGGUUUGAAGUUAUUGGUUUUGUCCAAACAAGUCAUUGCGUGUUACCGUAGAUGUAGUUUCAAUGAAGCACGUGAUUUUCUCGAACAGUACAACGCCAUUUUACCGCAAGCACAAGAUCGUUUGAUUUUCGAGGUGAUGGGAUUGUACUUACAAGCAGCUCUAAAGCGUACAAGUGGAGAUUUUCAAGAGCUCCCAGGACUAUUGACUGAAGCUUUGUCACUGGCAGAUCUGAUUGAACCAGGCCUGGUAACAGCAAUAGUAUAUAUUUUUGCUGGAACUGUGACGGACUUGAUAAAGUCAGAAGAUCAAACAAAUGAAUUAGGUUCACCUGAUGUUCUUUCAAUAAGAGCUCUGGAACAUUUACGAUGUGUCCCAGAUUCUUCAGGAGUUCUGGUAGAUAUGGAGCAGAAGGCACAUAUAACUUUGGCCACUUUUUACCUUGGCUGUAACAUAAAUGGACUGCGUAUCAAGGGUAAUGUAGGCAUUUCAGACAUAGAUAAAGCAAAGACAAAUAUAAUGGCUGUGCAUCAAUCCGCUGAUGAAGGACAGCCACUAAGUGGAUAUCGUGAAGUUCAGCUCAGUUUGGUACGGUCCAUUAAUAAUUAUCGACGUUCACAAGUCAGUCCUAACGAAAGGGUUCGCUUUUUGCGCAAUGCCUUUAACUACGCCAAAAAAGCUGAAUGUCUUGCAAGAGACUAUCAGUUCACGGAAAUGGUUGAAUGGAGUAAGGCUACCGAAGCUUUAUGCACGGAAGAAUUAGUGCGCGCAAAACUCACCAUUUAACCAAAAUAGACUGUGUACGAGUUAAAACUGUGAGACUGGAUUUGUAAUUCAGCAUAGUUCAUCUGUAUGUAGGAGUACUGUUCAUAUAAGCCAGUCUGUCCUAUCAAACAGUAAUAGUAAUAGAUUAAUAGUAAAAACUUUAUAAAAACGACGAGGGAAACGUACAGUAUUAACUAUAUUAGAGAAGUUCAAAUUUGACUUUCACCACCAAUACCGCUACCAUUAAGGGACUAUUAACCAAUCAGAUGCGUUUCACAUAUCUGAUUAAUCAGUUGCAGACUAAAGCCUGUUUUCCACUUCGCCCGUAUCGUACUGUAACGUAUCGGUGAACAUGCGCAGAUUGAAAAGAGGUUUAUAGACCACGUACUUCCGGGUGUAUUCGUGUAUCAAAAUAAAAAGUAGGGCCUUCGCUCGAAACGUCGAAUUUCUCUGUGUAUUUUUCAGGUAGUUACGUCACUACUAUAACGGAGUACUAUUCCAGGAAACUCGUGAAUAUUCGUGAUGCCAUUCUAUUUAUUCAUGAAAUUUACAACAGGUAGCUUCCAAGUUCCAAGUUAGCAAAAUAUUUUUUGAGUUUAUCACAAUUUCAAAUAACUCGUUAGUCCUAAAUUUAUAUAUAUCUGCAGGCAUAUAGGCAUGCAUGUGAUGACAUUCUAGGGAAUUUACAGGUAUUAGACUAGUAGCUUUUAGUUAAGGUGGCAGUAGUUGGUGAUCAAUUUGAGAACUGCUGACACUUAUUUUUGUUACAAGAAUGUAGUGCACUAUACUACAUCCCAUUUAUUUAUUUACUAUCAAUUAAUUUAUUAACUGCAGGUGGUCCACCAUCUAUUACAUGGCAAAGAGCUCUCAUGGAGUUUGCCAAAUUUUGAAAACGACAGUCACAUUAAUGUCACAUUAAUCUCAUACUCCUAAAUUAAUACUACUUCUUUGAAAGACCUUUUCCCAUUUACGUACACGACAAUGACACAGAAACGUGCAAACAUUUUUGAAAUAUCCCUCGUGAAAUGGAUUCACUCCCUCUUUGAAGAUCUUGCGAUACGAGAUUCUCGAGUGAGCCAUGUGCUCCCAUGUUGUUCGACCGAUCACAAUCAAGUACGAAUGACAACCAAAUAACAAGCCAACGACAAUCACGGAUAUGACUAGUAUCACCAUAACAAGGAAUAAUAUGCCAUUUGUAUAUGCCCAUUCCGACCACACCUUUUUACUCGCUCGGGCACUGCCCGGUUUCGACAGUCACAAAAUAGAGUAUCAAUGAGCUGCCCAAUUUUUACCCAAAUUAUCCAUAAUACUCCUGCCAAUAUUUACCCAAAUUAUCCAUAAAUAACCCUAAAUUUUGAGGAAAAUUCAAGAAUUGUGCUAGUUAGAAGUAUGCACAGAAUAAAGAUCUGGGCCAUCUGGCCAUGUAUUCUGUGGUAUGGAUUUGACUAUUGCUUUUUGAAUGUUUUUGUACAGCAUGCAUUUAACGAUUAAUGCAAGUAAAUCUUGUUAUGGUCAAAAGAAUAUCUUAUAGCCCGACAAAGACAGAAAUGCAAAGACAGCGAUCAUCAUUACUUGUGUGGAAGUUCGUCUUCUGGACGUCAAGCAUGAUAUUUUAUGUGGUGUCACUGGUGUGUGGAGUAGAAUACAAUGCGACCAUACAGGUAAAAGAGUUGGAAGAUUUAUGUGAAUAUAUAUCCUGAAUUCGCCUAGGGCUGAGGCCUGAGAGAGGAAAAUGUUUGCAUAUAAUUUUGCUAUGAAACUCAUGGAGU
rnacentral:lncRNA from 1 species